rnacentral:rRNA from 1 species
UUGCUAGUAAUCGCGAAUCAGAAUGUCGCGGUGAAUACGUUCCCGGGCCGUUGUACACACCGCCCGUCACACCAUGAGAGUCGAUAACACCCGAAGCCUGUGAGCUAACCUUUUAGGAGGCAGCAGUCGAAGGUGGGGUUGAUGAUUGGGGUGAAGUCGUAACAAGGUACC